UAACAAGUAAAUAAAUUCAUUCAUAUAAUCCUAAUAAUAUGGUUUAGGAGUCUCUACGUAAGAACCGUAAAUUCUUCGUCUAUGAGUGAAUCUUUGUGGAAU
rnacentral:ncRNA from 2 species